rnacentral:rRNA from 1 species
UUGAACGCUGGCGGCAGGCCUCACACAUGCAAGUCGAACGGUAACAGGAAGCAGCUUGCUGCUUCGCUGACGAGUGGCGGACGGGUGAGUAAUGUCUGGGAAGCUGCCUGAUGGAGGGGGAUAACUACUGGAAACGGUAGCUAAUACCGCAUAAUGUCGCAAGACCAAAGAGGGGGACCUUCGGGUCUCUUGCCAUCGGAUGUGCCCAGAUGGGAUUAGCUUGUUGGUGGGGGAACGGCUCACCAAGGCGACGAUGCAUAGCUGGUCUGAGAGGAUGACCGGCCACACUAGAACUGAGACAGGGUCCAGACUACUACGGGAGGCAGCAGUGGGGAAUAUUGCACAAUGGGCGCGAGCCUGAUGCAGCCAUGCCGCGUGUAUGAAGAAGGCCUUCGGGUUGUAAAGUACUUUCAGCGGGGAGGAAGGGAGUAAAGUUAAUACCUAUGCUCAUUGACGUUACCCGCAGAAGAAGCACCGGCUAACUCCGUG